ACCCGCACAAGCAGCGGAGCGUGUGGUUAAUUUCGAUGCUACACGAAGAACCUUACCAGGGUUUGACAUGCAAGUGGUAGGAAACUGAAAGGGACGACCCUUCGGGAGCUUGCACAGGUGCUGCAUGGCUGUCGUCAGCUCGUGUCGUGAGAUGUUCGGUUAAGUCCGCUAACGAGCGCAACCCUCACUGUGUGUUAUACGUGUCACACGGGACUGCCGGUUUUAAGCCGGAGGAAGGUGGGAUGACGUCAAGUCAGCAUGGCCUUUAUAUCCUGGGCUACACACACGCUACAAUGGUCGGUACAAUAGGUUGCCAAGCCGCGAGGCGGAGCCAAUCCAUAAAGCCGGCCUCAGUUCAGAUUGUAGGCUGCAACUCGCCUGCAUGAAGAUGGAGUUGCUAGUAACCGCAGGUCAGCAAUACUGCGGUGAAUACGUUCCCGGGUCUU
rnacentral:rRNA from 1 species